rfam:Vitis vinifera, whole genome shotgun sequence of line PN40024, unoriented chromosome 4, chr4
UUAGAGGACUUUCUAGAGUCCAUUGUAUACAUACUAUAUAUCGUUUU